GUACCUUUUGUAUAAUGGGUCAGCGACUUAUAUUCUGUAGCAAGGUUAACCGUAUAGGGGAGCCGAAGGGAAACCGAGUCUUAACUGGGCGUUAAGUUGCAGGGUAUAGACCCGAAACCCGGUGAUCUAGCCAUGGGCAGGUUGAAGGUUGGGUAACACUAACUGGAGGACCGAACCGACUAAUGUUGAAAAAUUAGCGGAUGACUUGUGGCUGGGGGUGAAAGGCCAAUCAAACCGGGAGAUAGCUGGUUCUCCCCGAAAGCUAUUUAGGUAGCGCCUCGUGAACUCAUCUUCGGGGGUAGAGCACUGUUUCGGCUAGGGGGUCAUCCCGACUUACCAACCCGAUGCAAACUGCGAAUACCGAAGAAUGUUAUCACGGGAGACACACGGCGGGUGCUAACGUCCGUCGUGAAGAGGGAAACAACCCAGACCGCCAGCUAAGGUCCCAAAGUCACAGUUAAGUGGGAAACGAUGUGGGAAGGCUCAGACAGCCAGGAUGUUGGCUUAGAAGCAGCCAUCAUUUAAAGAAAGCGUAAUAGCUCACUGGUCGAGUCGGCCUGCGCGGAAGAUGUAACGGGGCUAAACUGUGCACCGAAGCUGCGGCAGCGACGCUUAUGCGUUGUUGGGUAGGGGAGCGUUCUGUAAGCCUGCGAAGGUGUCCUGUGAGGGAUGCUGGAGGUAUCAGAAGUGCGAAUGCUGACAUAAGUAACGAUAAUGCGGGUGAAAAGCCCGCUCGCCGGAAGACCAAGGGUUCCUGUCCAACGUUAAUCGGGGCAGGGUGAGUCGACCCCUAAGGCGAGGCCGAAAGGCGUAGUCGAUGGGAAACGGGUUAAUAUUCCCGUACUUGGUGUUACUGCGAAGGGGGGACGGAGAAGGCUAUGUUGGCCGGGCGACGGUUGUCCCGGUUUAAGCGUGUAGGCUGGUUUUCCAGGCAAAUCCGGAAAAUCAA
rnacentral:rRNA from 1 species